rnacentral:rRNA from 1 species
CCCUUAGAUGUUCUGGGCCGCACGCGCGCUACACUGAUGCAUUCAACGAGUCUAAAACCUGCUCUGAUAGGGGUGUGUAAUCUUUUGAAUGUGCAUCGUGAUUGGGAUAGAUGAUUGCAAUUUUUCAUCUUCAACGAGGAAUGCCUAGUAAACGCAAGUCAUCAGCUUGCAUUGAUUACGUCCCUGCCCUUUGUACACACCGCCCGUCGCUCCUACCGAUUGAAUGAUCCGAUGAAUAUCAUGGAUUGAGGAUGCAAGUAGGUUCGCCUAUCUUCAUCUUCGAGAAGUGAAGUAAAUCUUAUCAUUUAGAGGAAGGAGAAGUCGUAACA